rnacentral:rRNA from 1 species
GACGAACGCUGGCGGCGUGCUUAACACAUGCAAGUCGAACGGAAAGGCCCUGCUUUUGUGGGGUGCUCGAGUGGCGAACGGGUGAGUAACACGUGAGUAACCUGCCCUUGACUUUGGGAUAACUUCAGGAAACUGGGGCUAAUACCGGAUAGGAGCUCCUGCUGCAUGGUGGGGGUUGGAAAGUUUCGGCGGUUGGGGAUGGACUCGCGGCUUAUCAGCUUGUUGGUGGGGUAGUGGCUUACCAAGGCUUUGAGGGGUAGCCGGCCUGGGAGGGUGACCGGCGACAUUGGGACUGAGGUACGGCCCAGACGCCUACGGGAGGCAGCAGUGGGGAGUAUGGCACAAUGGGCGGAAGCCUGAUGCAGCAACGCCGCGUGCGGGAUGACGGCCUUCGGGUUGUAAACCGCUUUCGCCUGUGACGAAGCGUGAGUGACGGUAAUGGGUAAAGAAGCACCGGCUAACUACGUG